rnacentral:rRNA from 1 species
AUUGAACGCUGGCGGCAUGCCUUACACAUGCAAGUCGAACGGCAGCACGGGAGCAAUCCUGGUGGCGAGUGGCGAACGGGUGAGUAAUAUAUCGGAACGUGCCCAGUCGUGGGGAUAACGUAGCGAAAGCUACGCUAAUACCGCAUACGAUCUAUGGAUGAAAGCGGGGGAUCGCAAGACCUCGCGCGAUUGGAGCGGCCGAUAUCAGAUUAGGUAGUUGGUGAGGUAAAGGCUCACCAAGCCGACGAUCUGUAGCUGGUCUGAGAGGACGACCAGCCACACUGGGACUGAGACACGGCCCAGACUCCUACGGGAGGCAGCAGUGGGGAAUUUUUGGACAAUGGGCGCAAGCCUGAUCCAGCAAUGCCGCGUGCAGGAUGAAGGCCCCUCGGGUUGUAAACUGCUUUUGUACGGAACGAAAGGUUUCUAUUAAUACUAGGAGCUCAUGACGGUACCGUAAGAAUAAGCACCGGCUAACU